rnacentral:misc_RNA from 1 species
CGACCCCAGGUCGGGCGGGACCACCCGCUGAGUUUAAGCAUAUCAAUAAGCGG